GACGAGCGCUGGCGGCGUGCUUAACACAUGCAAGUCGAACGGAAAGGCCCCUUUGGGGGUACUCGAGUGGCGAACGGGUGCGUAACACGUGAGUAACCUGCCCUUGACUUCGGGAUAACUUCAGGAAACUGGGGCUAAUACCGGAUAGGAAUCCUUGCUGCAUGGUGGGGGUUGGAAAGCUUCGGCGGUUUUGGAUGGACUCGCGGCUUAUCAGCUUGUUGGUGGGGUAGUGGCUUACCAAGGCUUUGACGGGUAGCCGGCCUGAGAGGGCGACCGGCCACAUUGGGACUGAGAUACGGCCCAGACUCCUACGGGAGGCAGAGGUGGGGAAUAUUGCACAAUGGGCGGAAGCCUGAUGCAGAAACGCCGCGUGCGGGAUGACGGCCUUCGGGUUGUAAACCGCUUUCAGCAGGGGCGAAGCUUGUGGUGACGGUACCUGCAGAAGAAGCACCGGCUAACUACGUG
rnacentral:rRNA from 1 species